rnacentral:rRNA from 1 species
UACGUAGGGCGCAAGCGUUGUCCGGAAUUAUUGGGCGUAAAGAGCUCGUAGGCGGCCUGUUGCGUCCGCUGUGAAAUCCCGGGGCUCAACCCCGGGCCUGCAGUGGAUACGGGCUGGCUGGAGGCAGGCAGGGGAGAGCGGAAUUCCUGGUGUAGCGGUGAAAUGCGCAGAUAUCAGGAGGAACACCGGUGGCGAAGGCGGUUCUCUGGGAAUGUUCUGACGCUGAGGAGCGAAAGCGUGGGGAGCGAACAGG